rnacentral:rRNA from 1 species
GACGAACGCUGGCGGCGCGCCUAACACAUGCAAGUCGAGCGGGGUUUUACUGUUCACCGAGCAUUUACGGAAGUGAAUGUUGGGUGAACAGUAAUUCUUAGCGGCGGACGGGUGAGUAACACGUGAGCAAUCUGCCUUUCAGAGGGGGAUAACGUUUGGAAACGAACGCUAAUACCGCAUGAUGUAUCGAGGUCACAUGGCCAUGAUACCAAAGGAGUAAUCCGCUGAAAGGUGAGCUCGCGCCCGAUUAGGUAGUUGGUGAGGUAACGGCACACCAAGCCUACGAUCGGAAGCAAGACUGAGAGGUUGAACGGCCACAUUGGGACUGAGACACGGCCCAGACUCCAACGGGAGGCAGCAGUGGGGGAUAUUGCACAAUGGAGGAAACUCUGAUGCAGCGACGCCGCGUGAGGGAAGAAGGUUUUCGGAUUGUAAACCUCUGUCUUCGGGGAAGAUAAUGACGGUACCCGAGGAGGAAGCCACGGCUAACUACGUGCCAGCAGCCGCUGUAA